rnacentral:rRNA from 1 species
UGAGGAAUAUUGGUCAAUGGACGCAAGUCUGAACCAGCCAAGUCGCGUGGAGGACGACGGCCCUACGGGUUGUAAACUCCUUUUGCAGGGGAAUAAAGCUGGCCACGCGUGGCCAUUUGCAUGUACCUUGCGAAUAAGGAUCGGCUAACUCCGUGCCAGCAGCCGCGGUAAUACGGAGGAUCCGAGCGUUAUCCGGAUUUAUUGGGUUUAAAGGGUGCGCAGGCGGCCCGUUAAGUCGGCGGUGAAAUUUUGCGGCUCAACCGUAAAAGUGCCUUCGAUACUGGCGGGCUUGAGUGUGGAUGAAGCGGGCGGAAUUCGUGGUGUAGCGGUGAAAUGCAUAGAUAUCACGAAGAACCCCGAUUGCGAAGGCAGCUCGCUAAGCCAUAACUGACGCUCAUGC